rnacentral:rRNA from 1 species
AAAUGAAUAGACGGGGACCCGCACAAGCAGCGGAGCGUGUGGUUUAAUUCGAAGCAACGCGAAGAACCUUACCAAGGUUUGACAUUUUAGUGCAUAGUAUGGAAACAUAUGAAAUUGCAGAGUAAUCUGCAACACUUUAACAGAUGGUGCAUGGUUGUCGUCAGCUCGUGUCGUGAGAUGUUGGGUUAAGUCCCGCAACGAGCGCAACCCCUGUAUUUAGUUGCCAGCAUUUAGUUGGGCACUCUAGAUAGACUGCCAUAGAUAAUAUGGAGGAAGGUGGGGAUGACGUCAAAUCAUCAUGCCUCUUACACCUUGGGCUACACACGCGCUACAAUGGAUACUACAAAGAGAUGCAAUAUAGUAAUAUGGAGCCAAACUCACAAAAGUAUCCUCAAUUCAGAUUGUGGGCUGAAACUCGCCCACAUGAAGACGGAGUUGCUAGUAAUCCCGGAUCAGCACGCCGGGGUGAAUGCGUUCUCGGGUCUUGUACACACCGCCCGU